rnacentral:rRNA from 1 species
GACGAACGCUGGCGGCGUGCCUAAUACAUGCAAGUCGAACGCAGUGGGGACGGGUGAGUAACACCUGGGUAACCUGCCAUAAGAGGGGAUAACACUUGGAAACAGGGGCUAAACCGAUACUGAUUGAUGGACUCGCGGUGCAGUAGCUAGUUGGUGGGGUAACGGCUCACCAAGGCCACGAUGCAUAGCCGACCUGAGAGGGUGAUCAGUCAGACUGGGACGUAGACACGGCCCAGACUCCUACGGUAGGCAGCAGUAGGGAAUCUUCGGCAAUGGACGAAAGUCUGACCGAGCAACGCCGCGUGAGUGAAGAAGGUUUUCGGAUCGUAAAGCUCUUUUGUUAGAGAAGCGUUAUCUAAACAGAAAGCCACGGCUAACUACGUGCCAGCAGCCGCGGUAAUUC